rnacentral:lncRNA from 1 species
UUGUUUUUAAUCUCUCUGAUUGUCACAGGUACAUUUUCAUGCAUUUUUCUUGUGCAUAGCUCGUUGUUUGCUAAGGGUGCAAAGGACGGAAGUCAGUCCCAUGCCAUUUCGGAGGGACUCUGAGUUUUAGAGAUUGCUGUAAAGCUGGAUACAUUUUUGUGUGCAUCGCGGAGGUUGGAUUGCAUAUAGCAUAUUUUAUUCAUAGUUAAGAUAGUGGGUCAUGGGUAUUUGAUUUGAUUUCAUUCGAUUUAUUUCUCAAGGAAAAUAAUGGGAAAUUAUUUUGGGUCACAUCACCAUUUGCAAUGGUGUGUGUGGUUUGCUUUAGACUGUGGUUGUUUCAGCUGUAAAACUUUCAUGGUUUCAAAGAUAGCAGACUUUUAUUCUUCUUUACAUGUCAUUUUUCAUGCUUCACUGCCUUAUGGUUAUGUUGCAUUUCCCUUUUCCUUCAUUUUUGUUGAAACAAUUAUGGCGUCGACAGAAAAUGUAGUUGACGGAUCUGUUGCUCUGCUAUGCUAACUCAUGGUGAUGUUCCCUACCUGACCAUGGAGAUGGUAAAAAGCUAGUGAGUUCUAUUUCCCAACUCCCUUCUUUGACUCUGCUUCUUUAGUCCUUUCGGAGUUUUGAGUUUAGAACACUGAUAUGUUUCAUAAGCAGGAUUAGGACCGUUAGGAUUGCACUUGUUGAGUGUUUAACACGGAACGAUAUGGUUAUUCUCUUUCGCACACAAUUGCGAGUAUCCAAACGACAAUUCGUGAAACUAUACCAGAGAGCGAC